ensembl:lncRNA
AGUGAUGGUGAGGUUGGGUAAUGUGUUAUGAAUAGUGGUGGUGAGGUUGGGUAAUGUGUUAUGAAUAGUGGUGGUGAGGUUAGGUAGCAGGUUAUGAAUAGUGGUGGUGAGGUUGGGUAAUGUGUUAUGAAUAGUGAUGGUGAGGUUGGGUAAUGUGUUAUGAAUAGUGAUGGUGAGGUUGGGUAGCAGGUUAUGAAUAGUGGUGGUGAGGUUGGGUAAUGUGUUAUGAAUAGUGGUGGUGAGGUUGGGUAAUGUGUUAUGAAUAGUGGUGGUGAGGUUGGGUAAUGUGUUAUGAAUAGUGGUGGUGAGGUUAGGUAGCAG